UACGUAGGGGGCUAGCGUUGUCCGGAUUUAUUGGGCGUAAAGAGCGUGUAGGCGGCCAGGUAGGUCCGGUGUGAAAACUCGAGGCUUAACCUCGAGAUGUCAUCGGAAACCAUCUGGCUAGAGUCCGGAAGAGGAAAGUGGAAUUCCUGGUGUAGCGGUGAAAUGCGCAGAUAUCAGGAAGAACACCGGUGGCGAAGGCGGGUCUCUGGGACGGUACUGACGCUGAGACGCGAAAGCGUGGGGAGCGAACAGG
rnacentral:rRNA from 1 species